UCACAUGCAAAGGAUCAGUUUGUAGCUAUAGAUAUAAAUAAUAAAUGGAUUCCAAUAAUCUUAGUGCAGUCUAUGAAGUAAUAUUUCAAGCUAGAGCCAAAUGGAAGCAGAUGUUCUUAGCUCCAAUGCUACUAUUUGAAACUAUCAAUAUAAGAUGUCGUGAAGAUCCUGAUAACUGCUAUCUUGAGGGUCUAUCAGAGUGGUUAAAAGGUGGUGAGAGAAGCUGAACAGACAUGUUUGAGGCUCUCUCACGCUCUAGUGUUGGGCACAAUGAUCUCGCUAAGGUGGUCGAAAGACGUCUCACUAAAGCUACCGGAAAUACUGAAUACAGACUGAGUUCCUCUUCACUGGCAACUAAUGGUUAGUGCUAUAGUACAUACCUGCUCGGAAUUACAAUCAUUUUUAUUAAGCGUCUGAUAGCGGCAUAAUAGAAAUGACCAACAUCAAUUCAGUGAAGCGAAGAAGUUCCAUUGAUCUCAUCAAAGAUCACACAAGCAAAGCUGACACCAAUCAUGGAGAAAUAUCCAGCACUGGCGAUCAGUCUCUAGUAACAACGCAUUCAAGGCGAUGCAAAUGGUCGUGGCUGUUGACGAUAAUAAUCUUACUGGUUGUCAUUGUGGUACUAACAGUGGUGGUCUUAGCAGUCUUACUGCCUGUUCUCACACUAGAACUAUCUCAUUCUGAUACGUCAACUCUGCCAACUACUGGUACUACUGGUUUUGAAGAGCCUACAUUUCCUACAACUCUUGCUGUAACAGACAUGAAUAUACUGUUCUUUCUGCAUCACCCCUAAACAUCAAUGUAAACAGCAUAUAUCAACUUCCUGAAAUGUCAGCAAUCUUUGUUAGCUCGUUUAUCAAGAGUACCCAUGACUCGAUAAGUUUCAGUGUAAUUGAAAAGAACCGGAUUUCUCGAGGAUUUCUCAUUGACUUCACAGUCAACGAUUGUCAAGAAUUGGAUGUUGACCGUGUUGCUGUGAAUAAACCGAUCUCCUUCAGCGUAACUAGACCAAUACAACACGUUGACAAAGGUUAUUAUUUGAAUGGGUCCAGUCUAACAUAUUCAAUUACCCCAUCUCAAGGUAUUGUGUCCAGCUCAUGUGAUUGCCCAGUUAUUCUAGUGGUAUAUGAUAACCAGGAAGAAUACAUCAAGUUUCUGAAUGAGAAGACUGAUGUACAAACUGGUUUUCUGUUCAAAUUUUGCUUAAACCGAAGUCGGUUGUCUGCGAAGAUAGUGCUCAAUAAAAACUCCUAUAUUUAUAUGCUGGUCUGGUGAUCUGUACUACUAUUGUACCUACUACCAUCAAUCUACGCAUCUCUGGAAUUUCUCACCAAUAUAAUAUUCAUGAGAUUGCGGAGAAAUCUUUGAGUACGUGCACUGUCAUUUUUUAUGGCGAUAACAUCGUCCGCUGUACCAUUUCACUAUAUCUACUAGUAUGACUGAUGAAAAAGAUGAACUGUGUGUUGUUGCCAUAGUACCUCCGAGACCAACUACUAGUGCUACUACUACUAUUGCUACUACUACUGAUAACCAUGGCAAACAGUGCACUUCUAAUUUCUUUAUUUUGUUAUGUGCAAUAACAUUAUUAUUUUCAGUUUCAGGAUAAACAGUCGUGUAGUUUAUCAUAUAAUUAUUGUAUAUAUGCAUGAUGAUUGUGAUUGCUUGUACAAUGUGAAUCAAUUAC